rnacentral:rRNA from 1 species
UACGUAGGGAGCAAGCGUUGUCCGGAAUCAUUGGGCGUAAAGCGCGCGUAGGCGGCCCUGUAAGUCCGUUGUGAAAGUCAAAGGCUCAACCUUUGAAAGCCGAUGGAUACUGCAGGGCUAGAGUCCGGAAGAGGCGAGUGGAAUUCCUGGUGUAGCGGUGGAAUGCGCAGAUAUCAGGAGGAACAGCCAAUAGCGAAGGCAGCUCGCUGGACGGUGACUGACGCUAAGGCGCGAAAGCGUGGGGAGCGAACAGG